GGAACCCCGCCCACCCGCAGGAAGUGACCCCCCCCCUCGUAAGGGAGGGGGGGCUAUGCCGCGUAAGCCGGUGCAUUGCACCUGAGGAAAACACAAUGGAACCGGCGCUUUUUAGAUUAGAAGUUCAGACUUCUUAUUAUGAAGGACUUCGGCUCAUGAGAGCUGGGGGCUAUGACUACCAAGGCGGUGAAGGCUCCCCAGCCGAAGAGUUGUACCGCCACUUGAGGUUGAACCGCGCCCAUAAUUCCUAGAGGAGUCACCAGUUCGUAUGUGUGGCAGCAGGAGGGAACCUUGCUCGAACGACGGCAGCCUGAAUGAGCAAGCACUGCGUGAAGUAAGAUUUUUUUUUAAGGAAGAAUUCUGAUUGCAGGAAUGACAUAAGUGCGCUGCUACCUGAUGAAUCACCCCUGAUAUAUUAUGCCGCAGCAGCCGUAGUACUACAUAGGCGACGAGCGUCAUCAGUAAUUAGUGGUAAUAAAGGUGUAGUAGGCGGAUGUAAUAGUCUGUGUAGUAACAGCAGUGAUCAACGUGAUGAUGAUAAAGAAACUUCAUGUGUAGAAUCUGAUAGCAGCAAGUGGAAUUCCAGGUGUAGCGGUAAAAUGAGUAAUUAUGUGGAGCAACAGCAGUGACGAAGGCGGCUUGGGUGGUUAGGAUUGACGAUGCGGCAAGAAAGCGUGAGGAGCCAACAGGAUUUGAUACCGUGGUAGUCCACGCCGUAAACGAUGAGUAAUAAGUGGGGGAGAAAUUCAGUGCGCUAGUUAACCCAAUAAGUAUUCCGCUUGAGUAGUACGUACGCAAGUUUGAAAUUCAAAGGAAUGGACGGGACCCCGCCCAAGCGGUGGAUCAUGUUGUUUAAUUGGAAGAUACGCGAAGACCCUUCCCAGUUCUGGCCAUCUCUCGCAAAGCUAUAGAGAUAUAUUGGAGGUUAUCGGAGUGACAGGUGGUGCAUGGUUGUCGUCAGCUCGUGUCGUGAGAUGUUGGGUUAAGUCCCGCAACGAGCGCAACCCUUAUUGCUAGUUACCAUCAUUAAGUUGGGGACUCUAGCGAGACUGCCAGUGACAAACUGGAGGAAGGUGGGGAUGACGUCAAAUCAUCAUGCCCCUUAUGACCUGGGCUACAAACGUGAUACAAUGGAUGAAACAAAGGGCAGCAAGGCGGUGACAGUGAGCGAAUCUCAUAAAAGCAUUCUCAGUUCGGAUUGAAGUCUGCAACUCGACUUCAUGAAGCUGGAAUCGCUAGUAAUCGCGAAUCAGCAUGUCGCGGUGAAUACGUUCUCGGGGUUUGUACACACCGCCCGUCAAACCACGAAAGUCAGCAAUACCCAAAGCCCGGUGGCCUAACCCGUAAAAGGAGGGA
rnacentral:rRNA from 1 species